UACGUAGGGUGCGAGCGUUAAUCGGAAUUACUGGGCGUAAAGCGUGCGCAGGCGGGCUUUUAAGCCAGACGUGAAAUCCCCGGGCUUAACCUGGGAAUGGCGUUUGGGACUGGAAGUCUGGAGUGCGGCAGAGGGGGAUGGAAUUCCGCGUGUAGCAGUGAAAUGCGUAGAUAUGCGGAGGAACACCGAUGGCGAAGGCAAUCCCCUGGGCCUGCACUGACGCUCAUGCACGAAAGCGUGGGGAUCAAACAGG
rnacentral:rRNA from 1 species